UUACAUUUUUUGACUUUUCAAUUGCCAGAAAAAUAACACAAGGUGUGAGAACUUUAAUCACAUCAGAGUUAAUGUGCCAGAUGAGAUGCCUUUGGAAGAUAAGUGAUAACAGAGGAUAUUUUUACCCAUCAGAACUAAUUUAUAGUCCUGGGAUUUCCUGGUAGUCUGCUAUCAAGAUUCAAACAGUCCUGGGAUUCAGUCCAGUUUAGCUUUUCAAGGUCACCUAGAUGGAAUGGGACAACUUGGUACAGCCAACCCGACACAACCAACUUGCUACGGGACAACUUGCCAUGGCCAACUCCCUGUGGGACAGUUCACUACAGGACAAUUCAACAAUUCAAUUUAAAUAUUUAAAAUAAUUAAAAAAUACUUUCACAUUUC